rnacentral:rRNA from 1 species
UACAGAGGAUGCAAGCGUUAUCCGGAAUGAUUGGGCGUAAAGCGUCUGUAGGUGGCUUUUUAAGUCCGCCGUCAAAUCCCAGGGCUCAACUCUGGACAGGCGGUGGAAACUACCAAGCUGGAGUACGGUAGGGGCAGAGGGAAUUUCCGGUGGAGCGGUGAAAUGCGUAGAUAUCGAGAGGAACACCAGUGGCGAAGGCGAGUCUCUAGACAACUCCUGACACUGAGGCACGAAAGCUAGGGGAGCAAACAGG